rnacentral:rRNA from 1 species
ACUCCUACGGGAGGGCAGCAGUAGGGAAGUCUUCCACAAUGGACGAAAGUACUGAUGGAGCAACGCCGCGUGAGUGAAGAAGGGUUUCGGCUCGUAAAACUCUGUUGUUAAAGAAGAACAUAUCUGAGAGUAACUGUUCAGGUAUUGACGGUAUUUAACCAGAAAGCCACGGCUAACUACGUGCCAGCAGCCGCGGUAAUACGUAGGUGGCAAGCGUUGUCCGGAUUUAUUGGGCGUAAAGCGAGCGCAGGCGGUUUUUAAGUCUGAUGUGAAAGCCUUCGGCUCAACCGAAGAAGUGCAUCGGAAACUGGGAAACUUGAGUGCAGAAGAGGACAGUGGAACUCCAUGUGUAGCGGUGAAAUGCGUAGAUAUAUGGAAGAACACCAGUGGCGAAGGCGGCUGUCUGGUCUGUAACUGACGCUGAGGCUCGAAAGUAUAGGUAGCAAACAGGAUUAGAUACCCUGGUAGGC